UGUCCUACGGGUGGCAGCAGUGAGGAAUAUUGGUCAAUGGGCGAAAGCCUGAACCAGCAACGCCGCGUGAGGGAUGAAGGCCUUCGGGUCGUAAACCUCUUUUCUGGGAGAAGAGACAAGGACGGUAUCCCAGGAAUAAGUCUCGGCUAACUACGUGCCAGCAGCCGCGGUAAAACGUAGGAGGCAAGCGUUAUCCGGAUUUACUGGGCGUAAAGCGCACGCAGGCGGCUGCGUAAGUCGGACGUGAAAGCUCCUGGCUCAACUGGGAGAGGUCGUUCGAAACUGCGCGGCUUGAGGUUGGAAGAGGAGAGCGGAAUUCCCGGUGUAGUGGUGGAAUGCGUAGAUAUCGGGAGGAACACCAGUGGCGAAAGCGGCUCUCUGGUCCACACCUGACGCUCAGGUGCGAAAGCGUGGGUAGCGAACGGGAUUAGAUACCCGAGUAGUC
rnacentral:rRNA from 1 species